ensembl:lncRNA
CUUGCUUUUCUUGCAGACAAAAUCACUAGUAUGGAAGCCAGCCCAGAGGAGGCAUGUGAACAGAGUUGAUUGAUUGUAUAGUCUUCCGUGUGAGAUUGAGAUGAAUGUGAUAGAAAAUGCUGGGACUUCUGGCUAGUUCCUCCUGAAGAUUUCAUCUGGGGUAUCUUGGACAGGAACAGUUAUGAUCCAGAGAUGACUAUGUUUCAGCAGCACAGAUUUGAGGUCAAGCAAAACAGUGAUUACUACUGGACAGAUUUUCUCCAAUGGAUUUAACAGGAAAGAAAGGGAUUUUGAAGAUGUCACAUACUGUUCUAGCAGGAUGUGCUGGCCCAGACUUCACUAAAUGACCUCUCCUGUUAGGCAUGUCAGUCACAAUGUGACUUACUAAUUUAGAAAGCCUGAGAGAGCAAGAGGAGUAAGGUGGAAAAAAUACAGAGCAGGGGUACAACAUGCAAAUCAUUGCAUUAAAAGGUCAGUCUGUUCUCACUUAGCCGUAACUGGCUUAUCCCAUUUGCAACACGUAUCACUGCCCAGUCAUUUAAUUCUGUAAAAUGAAACUCCAAAAAGUGUAUUGUUUCAAAUAAAUAAAUCAUUUGUAUAUAUAAAAUAAAGUUU